AUACUACUCCCUCUGUCCGAAAAUACUUGUCAUCAAAAUGGAUAAAAAAGGACGUAUCUAGAACUAACAUACGUCUAGAUACAUCUCCUUUUAUUCAUUUUGAUGACAAGUAUUUCCGGACGGAGGGAGUAAUCU
rfam:Triticum aestivum genome assembly, contig: Triticum_aestivum_CS42_TGACv1_scaffold_030980_1BL